rnacentral:rRNA from 1 species
GAUGAACGCUGGCGGCGUGCUUAACACAUGCAAGUCGAGCGAAGCGCUUAAGUUCGAUUCUUCGGAUGAAGACUUUUGUGACUGAGCGGCGGACGGGUGAGUAACGCGUGGGUAACCUGCCUCAUACAGGGGGAUAACAGUUAGAAGUGGCUGCUAAUACCGCAUAAGACCACAGUACUGCAUGGUACAGUGGUAAAAACUCCGGUGGUAUGAGAUGGACCCGCGUCUGAUUAGGUAGUUGGUGAGGUAACGGCCCACCAAGCCGACGAUCAGUAGCCGACCUGAGAGGGUGACCGGCCACAUUGGGACUGAGACACGGCCCAGACUCCUACGGGAGGCAGCAGUGGGGAAUAUUGCACAAUGGGCGAAAGCCUGAUGCAGCGACGCCGCGUGAAGGAUGAAGUAUUUCGGUAUGUAAACUUCUAUCAGCAGGGAAGAAAAUGACGG